rnacentral:rRNA from 1 species
AUUGAACGCUGGCGGCAGGCCUAACACAUGCAAGUCGAACGGUAACAGGAAGCAGCUUGCUGCUUUGCUGACGAGUGGCGGACGGGUGAGUAAUGUCUGGGAAACUGCCUGAUGGAGGGGGAUAACUACUGGAAACGGUAGCUAAUACCGCAUAACGUCGCAAGACCAAAGAGGGGGACCUACGGGCCUCUUGCCAUCGGAUGUUCCCAGAUGGGAUUAGCUAGUAGGUGGGGUAACGGCUCACCUAGGCGACGAUCCCUAGCUGGUCUGAGAGGAUGACCAGCCACACUGGAACUGAGACACGGUCCAGACUCCUACGGGAGGCAGCAGUGGGGAAUAUUGCACAAUGGGCGCAAGCCUGAUGCAGCCAUGCCGCGUGUAUGAAGAAGGCCUUCGGGUUGUAAAGUACUUUCAGCGGGGAGGAAGGGAGUAAAGUUAAUACCUUUGCUCAUUGACGUUACCCGCAGAAGAAGCACCGGCUAACUCCGUG